rnacentral:rRNA from 1 species
AUUGAACGCUGGCGGCAGGCCUAACACAUGCAAGUCGAGCGGAUGACGGGAGCUUGCUCCUUGAUUCAGCGGCGGACGGGUGAGUAAUGCCUAGGAAUCUGCCUGGUAGUGGGGGACAACGUUUCGAAAGGAACGCUAAUACCGCAUACGUCCUACGGGAGAAAGCAGGGGACCUUCGGGCCUUGCGCUAUCAGAUGAGCCUAGGUCGGAUUAGCUAGUAGGUGAGGUAAUGGCUCACCUAGGAGACGAUCCGUAACUGGUCUGAGAGGAUGAUCAGUCACACUGGAACUGAGACACGGUCCAGACUCGUACGGGAGGCAGCAGUGGGGAAUAUUGGACCAUGGGCGAAAGCCUGAUCCAGCCAUGCCGCGUGUGUGAAGAAGGUCUUCGGAUUGUAAAGCACUUUAAGUUGGGAGGAAGGGCAGUAAGAUAAUACCUUGCUGUUUUGACGUUACCGACAGAAUAAGCACCGGCUAACUCUGUGCCAGCAGCCGCAGUAACAC